ACUUUGUGAAGUCUGUGCAGCGUUGAUAUGCCCUGGCCCAGGUACUGGUGGAGCAGAACUUGCCAGCCAUUGCCAUACACUGUGAGACCCUUCAGGAGGAGAGUAGUUUAAAGGUCUUCAAUAUCGAAUUGUUGUGGCCAGCAACCUAUGUGGCCAAGGCAUGGACAUUAAGCAGGUGAACUCUGCCAUCGACUACCACCGGCCUGGCGAUUCCCACACCUACCUGCAUCGGGAGGCCUGUGUAGGCUAGUUGCCCGAGGGGAUUUUCCAUCACGUUUGUGUCAAGUGAAAACGGUGCCAAGAUCCUCAGUGAGGUGCAGGGUCAAACUGAGGUCGAUGGUACUGAACUGCCUGAGGAGAUGGACAUUUCCUCCUCCAUUGCAGCCAUGGGAGAGGACGCACCCAUUCACAGAGCCUGAUGCAUAUCUCACACCCAGGAACCAGGAGAUCAUACAUGACCUGAGCUGAAAUCAAGAGUCAGAUGCCCAACCGUCUUACCUACCCAGGCACCCCUACAAUUUAUACUUCCUAAUAAUUUCUUUUUAAAAAUAUUUUAACUUUGAAUAUAGUUGAAAGACACGAUUACAUUAGUUGCAGGUGCACAACACAGUGACUCAAAUCCUGAAUACAUUCUCUGUUUUCGAGAGAGAGACAGCCAGAGCAGGGAAGAGAGGCAAGAGGGAGGGAAGGAGAGAGAGAGAGAGAGAGAGAAUAAGAG